GUUUUGGCAAUGGCGAUUUCAGAGCUGGUUCUGGUUAAACAAAAAGGAUUUUAGUCUUCAACCAAAAGAUCUAUCUCUGUAGGCUUCCUUUCUAUAACGUUGGCAGACAGAAGAAUAAUCUGAGCCCGUCAGUGGCAAAAACAGCAACUAGUGGACAGGAAUCGACGAUGGGCAUUUUCCUUAUAGGAUCACAUCGCAGCCCGCAUUGCACCUCCAGUUACAGUGUUCUCGCUCAUUACUGGACAAGAUAUUUUAUUUACAUUAGUCCCUUAGACACCAAUGCAUGGGAAAAUAGGGCCUAGGUUGAAAGAAAAAAAAAAAAAAAAUUACCGUUGAACUAAUUAUCAAGUAAGAGAAAAUGAAUGCCACCUUGAAACUGUUCAGGGAAGUUAGAGGUAGAGACGCUGACUAGUAACCAGAGGGUUGUUGGUUUGACCCUCAUAAGCAGAAUGUGUUUGAGUCCCCCGUACGCCGAGCAUUGAACCCCUAAAGCACUCCGUCGCCAAACUGGUUUGAAGAGUCCUAAAUGUGCAAGGAAGGUUUUAAAGAUGUUUCUACCUCUAGAAGUAAAUGAAGCUGAUAGAAGAAUCACGUUGUGACGGGUCAACCCUCCGCUCACCUGUCGGGGACGGACGCAAAGGUGGAGGCAGCGAGGAGAGAAGGUCAGGGACUUCAGAGGGAUGCAUUGCUGUGUAUGUUACACUUCCAACCGCCCCAUUCCUUCCCUCAGUGGCAGAAGUAUUACUGUGCAUCUAGUUGUAGUAAAUUAAGCUAUUUUAAAUACUGUAAUAAAAAAGGAAUAAUAUAUAUGUAUUUUAACAGAUGUUCUCUUCUUUCUCAGUGAGGUUUAUGCCGUUUAAAAAAAAUAAUUAAAUAAUAGAACUCUAUUUAAAAUGAAAUGACGAAAAAAAACUGCAGGUGUCUAAAUGUUUUAUAAAAGAUGAGUAAUAUUUUGUAUAAGAUGUGAUAUUUUGUGUGAUUUGUCUACAUUGUUAUGAAAUGAGAAAUUGAAUGUUCUGUGACUGCCAUCAGGCAUAAAAUUGAUUUAUUAAUUGAUUAUUUAAUGAGGAAACUAUUAAAAAUUCUGGCACACACUCAC